AUUGAACGCUGGCGGCAUGCCUUACACAUGCAAGUCGAACGGCAGCACGGGUGCUUGCACCUGGUGGCGAGUGGCGAACGGGUGAGUAAUACAUCGGAACAUGUCCUGUAGUGGGGGAUAGCCCGGCGAAAGCCGGAUUAAUACCGCAUACGAUCUACGGAUGACAGCGGGGGGCCUUCGGGCCUCGCGCUAUAGGGUUGGCCGAUGGCUGAUUAGCUAGUUGGUGGGGUAAAGGCCUACCAAGGCGACGAUCAGUAGCUGGUCUGAGAGGACGACCAGCCACACUGGGACUGAGACACGGCCCAGACUCCUACGGGAGGCAGCAGUGGGGAAUUUUGGACAAUGGGCGAAAGCCUGAUCCAGCAAUGCCGCGUGUGUGAAGAAGGCCUUCGGGUUGUAAAGCACUUUUGUCCGGAAAGAAAUCCUUGGCUCUAAUACAGUCGGGGGAUGACGGUACCGGAAGAAUAAGCACCGGCUAACUACGUG
rnacentral:rRNA from 1 species